CAGAAAUCUCCACUUUGGCCGGAGUUUUUAGAAAUGAUCGUUUUCUGUGACAAAAACAGCGUUUUCGUGUAAAUGAGAGGCCAAACCGUGUGAAAAUAUCUGCGUUUUCCCUUCGUGUAAACGGGCCCUGAGUUGAGAUUCUCUGGAGGUUCUGGAAGUGAGACUGAGUAUAGCGUCUCUGAGGGUGAGACUCAGAUGUUUAACACAAAGGACGUGGGGUUUGUUCAAGACACUGUUAUGAGAGAACUUUUGGUCAUAAUUACACGCGUUAAAUUGAACGACGAGAUUCAAAGUGCGGGCUGAUCCCCUGGAGACGAGGUGCCAGUGCGACGUGUCACAGAGAGACCUGUUUGCCUACGGUGGCUGUGGACCUGCAGAGACGGAGAAACAAGAGAGAGAGCAUCUCCUCUCCGCCACGACUGGCAGGGCCCCCCAGAUGGCGCCAGGCCAGGUGCGG
ensembl:lncRNA